rnacentral:rRNA from 1 species
AUGGCGGUGAACUCGCGGCUCAUCGUCAUGAACUGCUCCUCGGAGGUGACGGAGCGGUGGCUGCUGGCGCUGUCCCAGGCGGUGGAGGCGGCGGACAGGGUGCGCGUGGGCGGCGUGAAGGGCGGGUGCGGCGGCGACAGGGGGUGGACCUCGCGCACCUCGAUCACCUCGUCGACGUCGUGGAAGGUGGUGUUGGUGGUGCUGGCGGUGGUGGUCACCAGAGUGCCCUCCUCGUCGUUGGCCCCUAGGGCAUCGUCCUCGUCGUCGGACGCGGAGGGUGGUGCGUGCCGCUCAUGCAACAUGUGUCGGCGCCGGCCGGCGGGGACGGGGCACCAUGCGCGGGAGGAGGAGGACCAGCAGUGCACGCCUCGCCCUCUUGACUGA